CUGACGCUAUUAUGAUGCCAGGGGCUGUCAGCACUGUUACAGAGCUCAGCACUAUGGUGUAGUGCCCAGGACGGGGCAACAUUGGUGGGAACACCCUGCAGGGCAGCUUAGACCCUACUGACCAGCUCACAGGAAUCAACUCAGAUUGAAAAGGGAAGAAAGGAAGAGCUAGAUCUUGUAUAGAGCUGGGGGUCCCAGACCUUGCUAACAGAGCUGUGCAGGAAGGCGGCGCUGAGCUGCGAAGGAAUUAAACAACUUUCCCUUAAUGAGAGCCAAACCAGCAGUUCCUCAGCUGCCAAGGGCUGAAAUCCAGGCUGUGCUGGAGGAUGUGGCCCAGCAUCUCCCAGUGGCCCAAAUGUCAGAAGGAAGGACCAGCAUGGAGCUGGAGCAAGGCGAUGCCCCCUGGGGAUGGAGCCGGACCACACUCAUGCCAACAUUUGCAUUGGGCAGUUCUCAUCCUGUACAUGGGUGUACCCAGGCCCUGGUGGCACAGCGUGGUCACUACCACUUCCAUAUUAUCUGGGGUUGAUGCACUGCAAAGCAGCUGAGUGAAAGGUGCUGGGGUUUCAGACCCUCCCCGAGAAGUCCAUGUACCCCAGGAUGGAGACUGAUGAGAAAGGAGCUCUGGUUGGUAGUUCCCUUCUUCUGUCCUAAAUCAGGCAAGCAGAGGUGCUCCACUUGGCUCCAAACCACCCCCUUAUGUUUUUUCUCCCCAUGUCCCUCUGGAGAAACAUCCCACAGGCUCCCUCCUAAAAUCUCCAAACCACGCCUUUGACACAAUGUCUGUGGAGCUACAAAACCUAUCAUCCCUCCCUGAUUUACCCAAUUAAACCUGCAUUUAAGGAAUCUCCUACUCCACCUAACUGGUGCUCAUUAUUGUGGACAAAGAGGAGGCACCUCGGGUGGUGAUAGUUGGGGUUGGACUGUGUGUGAACUGCUUUGCUUUGGGUGCCCUGCACUGUGGCAUUGCUCCUUGCUCCUCAGUCCCAUUGGGAACCCAUUGCUCUGCUCCAGCAGGACGAACGCGGCUGGUUGGUGCUUCCCACAACAUUAGAGCUAUAAAUGGUUGAGCUCUUUACAACUCCAGUUCCUGCCAUGAGGCUCUAGAAGGGGUUUGGAUGUGAUGCAUAGAUAUAUGUCUUUCUAAGCAGCAAGAGGUGGGUUUGUGCUGCUCCAGCUUCUCCUGCAGAGAGGAGAAAUGUCCCUGUGCUUGAGGACACACAAAGUCCCGAAGCCUGGCAGUGGCACCUGGGGAUUUGCUGCUCCAGAUACAGUGCGGCACCGUUCUGACAUCAGCAGGAAUAUGCUAACACUGCCAAUGCUUUCCUGGAAAGACCCAGAAGUAAGCGAUGCUGGAGGCAUAUGCUGUCCUCCUUUGCUUCAGUGAUGUAUGUUUCUGGAGAGCUGGGAAUGCAUGUUCAGAGGUAAGAGGAUGCCCCAGACAUGCCCCACAAGACACCAUUGAACCCAGCAGGAUGCUUCCCAAGUCAGUGCUACUUCGUUCUCUUCUGCAUUGGAGCAAAGCAGAUCAGCAGAUGAAUGUGCUGGGUGGAAUGCUCAUUCUUUUUCUA